GAUGAACGCUGGCGGCGUGCCUAAUACAUGCAAGUCGAGCGAACGGACGAGAAGCUUGCUUCUCUGAUGUUAGCGGCGGACGGGUGAGUAACACGUGGAUAACCUACCUAUAAGACUGGGAUAACUUCGGGAAACCGUAGCUAAUACCGGCUAAUAUUUUGAACCGCAUGGUUCAAAAGUGAAAGACGGUCUUGCUGUCACUUAUAGAUGCAUCCGCGCUGCAUUAGCUAGUUGGUAAGGUAACGGCUUACCAAGGCAACGAUGCAUAGCAGACCUGAGAGGGUGAUCGGCCACACUGGAACUGAGACACGGUCCAGACUCCUACGGGAGGCAGCAGUAGGGAAUCGUACGCAAUGGGCGAAAGCCUGACGGAGCAACGCCGAGUGAGUGAUGAAGGUCUUCGGAUCGUAAAACUCUGUUAUUAGGGAAGAACAUAUGUGUAAGUAACUGUGCACAGCUUGACGGUACCUAAUCAGAAAGCCACGGCUAACUACGUG
rnacentral:rRNA from 1 species